UAUUCAGCGUGCAACGAGGAACAAUCGAUGCAGAAGGUGUUUUGCUCACGCACAUAUGGCAAAAGAGAUCUACGAAAGUCGAUGAGAUACUGAAUGGAAGAAUUGUUGAUGAAGAUCAGAUUUCCGGCAGUGCGAGGAGAAAAGGACGCAGUGAUCGGAGUGAGUACCUUGAUUUGGAAGAAGAUCACAGCCAAAGUGGAGGCAACGAACGAGAAAUAGGUCACUGAUUUUGUAAAUAGCCAUCAGCCAUUCACGCCUCAAAAUGGAGAACAGGCGUUUCAGCAUUCGAGCUCUAAUGAUGACGUUCGAAUCUGGGAGUCGCCAUCGAAGAAGAUUCAAUCAUCAGAGUGGAGAGUAAAGGCAUCUCGAAAGAUCGACAAAAAAUGCAAGAACAAGAACUUGUGAAGGUAAGAGGGCCUUCUUCCAAGUAGAGUGAAUACUUAACCGAAGAAGACGACUGCGGAGCCAGAAAUGAA